rnacentral:lncRNA from 1 species
GGUUAGUGGCGUGCUCAGAGGUAACCAGAACAGGAAGUAGUUACAUCUUCUUGUAGCAGACCAUGUGGGCAAUCAGAAUAGCAACAAAUAAAAUGUGUGGCUUCUUUUUGUUGUACAUCUGUUCUUUCAUCUCUAUUUACUUUGAAAAAGCUGCUUCUUCAAUAAAACGACCUUAUGAUGAGUUUACUAGAGUUCCAUAAUAUUAUGAUGCAAAUAUUUCUUUACUGCUACAGUUUUAGUAAGCAGAGGUAAAAUGCAAUGAUUCUAAGUUACUAUUUGCGUUUCCUUUUCUUUUGAUCUCUAGAAAUGUAGGUGGGAGUUGGUCAGAACCUAAAGGACUCAAAACAGUAUUUGGAGGGCUUACUUUGAUUUAUUCAUUUUUUUGGUCAUUCAUUUUUAAAAAUCAAAUAACCUCUCGUUAAAGAAACUCUUUUUCUACUGUUUGUAACUCCUGAGAGGUAGUAGGGAGUAGAUUAUUACUGCAGACUUUGGAUAAUUUUUUGGGUUCGAAUCCUAUACCACCGUUAUGUAACCAUUUUAAGCCUUGGUUUCUUAAAUAGAAUGGAGAUUGCCUACCUUUACUGAGUUCGCAAUUAUAUAAAACUGAUAAUUUUGAAACGAGUUUGAUAGUCUAAUAACGUACAGCAAUCUGUUAGCUAACAGUCAUUCACUUGCUCUAGGGUGGCACGGAGGCAGAACCUGACUUGGAUUUCAGAGAGGUUCUCCUUCUUAUUCACUACUGUGCUUCGGUGCCUCCCUCUCCUCCCUGUGCUUCUGAUUCCCCAUCCAUAAAAUGGAAAAAAUAGUGUGUGCCUUACAGGAUCGUUGGAGUAUUAAUGCAACAAUUGUCAGAGUAUCAUGCAGGAUCUGUUCUUGACAUGGAAUUCAAGGUCACUGCCCCUAAAGGCUUGUAUCUUCGAGAGAGAAAGAUACUUCAAUGGAUGGUGGCAACAUCUCUGGAGUUUUGAGGACAAGUGAGAUUUGGCCAGAUGAAAGUUCUAUUUGUGAAAAUCAGAAAUAUGAAAAGAUGCGCUGUUUAAGAGGACCACUUGGAGUAUCAAAGCAUGAGGUUAACAAGGUUGGCAGCAGCCCUGUGGUGAUGGGUCCAUGUGCUGCGCUCUGAAGCUUCAACUUUGUCCUGAAAGCUGCGAAGGAUUUAAACCAGAGUAAGAAGAUCAAAUUUGUGUUUUAAAAUAAUUACUCUGGCAUCAGUUCAGUGUUUUUACACCGAAGACCAGUGAGGAGAAGAUUGUCCAGCGUAUACUAUUUCUGUUGAGAAGUCAGCUGUCAGUCUGAUUGUUGCACCCUUGAAGGGUGGGAAAAGGAAAUUGAGAACUCUCUUAAUUUAAAUGACAUCUCACCUGGUGAAGAAUUUGAAACUUGGAGUGCAAAAGGAUGAGGGAAAAGAAAAGAAUAGAUGUUAUUGGUGUGAAGUAAACCAAGACAGUUCUUUUGUUGGGAAGAUACAAA